UUCAUCACUGACACACACAACAAUCUUCAUCAACAUGACCUUCAUCAUCAUCUUCAUCUGGACUCUCACAGCGUUUGCUCAAGAGUGUAGAGGACAGAUCACCGUCACUCAGAGUCCCUCAAUGACAGCAGCUCAACCAGGAGAAACAGUCAAAAUCAACUGUAAAACCAGCAGUGAUGUUCACUAUGAUGCAGGAGGGUUUGCAUUUAUAACUGCUUCAUAUACUUACUAUUUAAGCUGGUACUUACAAAAACCUGGAGAAGCUCCUAAACUCCUCAUAUAUCAAGUAACAGAGCGUUACAGUGGAACUCCAUCUAGAUUCAGUGGCACAAGUUCAUCUGCAAGUGAUUUCACUCUGACCAUCAGUGGAGUCCAGACUGAAGAUGCUGGACAUUAUUACUGUCAGAGUGCACACAGUGGUGGUGUGUCCACACAGUGAUAAAGAG